CCGUAGCCCAAGAGAUCGGGAUAACACCUGGAAACAGAUGCUAAUACCGGAUAACAAACAGAUGAUGCCUAUCAACUGUUUAAAAGAUGGUUCUGCUAUCACUCUUGGAUGGACCUGCGGUGCAUUAGCUAGUUGGUAGGGUAACGGCCUACCAAGGCGAUGAUGCAUAGCCGAGUUGAGAGACUGAUCGGCCACAUUGGGACUGAGACACGGCCCAAACUACUACGGGAGGCAGCAGCG
rnacentral:rRNA from 1 species